rnacentral:rRNA from 1 species
GAUGAACGCUGACAGAAUGCUUAACACAUGCAAGUCCACUUGAACUUCGGUUUGGGUGGCGGACGGGUGAGUAACGCGUACAGAACUUGCCUCACAGAUAGGGACAACAUUUGGAGACGAAUGCUAAUACCUGAUAUUAUGAUUUUAGGGCAUCCUAGGAUUAUGAAAGCUAUAUGCGCUGUGAGAGAGCUUUGCGUCCCAUUAGCUAGUUGGAGAGGUAACGGCUCACCAAGGCGAUGAUGGGUAGCCGGCCUGAGAGGGUGAUCGGCCACAAGGGGACUGAGACACGGCCCUUACUCCUACGGGAGGCAGCAGUGGGGAAUAUUGGACAAUGGACCAAGAGUCUGAUCCAGCAAUUCUGUGUGCACGAUGAAGUUUUUCGGAAUGUAAAGUGCUUUCAGUUGGGAAGAAAAAAAUGACGGUACCAACAGAAGAAGUGACGGCUAAAUACGUG